rnacentral:rRNA from 1 species
UAAUACCGCAUACGCCCUACGGGGGAAAGCAGGGGAUCGUAAGACCUUGCGUUAAUGGAGCGGCCGAUAUCUGAUUAGCUUGUUGGUGAGGUAAAGGCUCACCAAGGCGACGAUCAGUAGCUGGUUUGAGAGAACGACCAGCCACACUGGAACUGAGACACGGUCCAGACUCCUACGGGAGGCAGCAGUGGGGAAUUUUGGACAAUGGGGGCAACCCUGAUCCAGCCAUUCCGCGUGAGUGAAGAAGGCCUUCGGGUUGUAAAGCUCUUUCGCAAGGGAAGAAAACUUAUGAUCGAAUAAAUCAUGAGGUUGACGGUACCUUGAUAAGAAGCACCGGCUAACUACGUGCCAGCAGCCGCGGUAAUACGUAGGGUGCGAGCGUUAAUCGGAAUUACUGGGCGUAAAGCGUGCGCAGGCGGUUUUGUAAGUCGGAUGUGAAAUCCCCGGGCUCAACCCCGGAACUGCCUUUGAAACUAGAUGACUGGAAUCUUGGAGAGGUCAGUGGAAUUCCGAGUGUAGAGGUGAAAUUCGUAGAUAUUCGGAAGAACACCAGUGGCGAAGGCGACUGACUGGACAAGUA